GGGCCGUUAGCUCAGUCGGUAGAGCAGCGGGCUUUUAACCCGUUGGUCCUGCGUUCGAAUCGCAGACGGCCCA
rnacentral:tRNA from 1 species